UCACACCCGACGACAACUCACGCACGGCAGGAGCGGGGGACCCAGGUAAGCCGCCGUACCGGACACCGUGCCGGGACGGCUCGGGGUGAAGCCAUGCCCGAAGGGGCACGGCCGGGCACUCUCCCGCCCGAACCCGACAGCUCACCUCGCAGGCGUAGGAGAGGAACCUC
rnacentral:sRNA from 2 species